rnacentral:SRP_RNA from 1 species
GCUGGGCGUGGUGGUGCAUGUCUGUAUUCUUAGCUACUCAGGAGGCUGAGGCAGGAGAAUCCUUGAACCAAGGGAGGUGGAGGUUGCAGUGAGCCGAGGUCGUGCCACUGCACUCCGCCCUGGGUGAGAGAGCAAGACUCUCUUGAAAAAAAGUAAACAAUAAAAUUUGUAAACCUUUUCUAAAAUACUAGUCUUUGUUUUUUCUUUGAGAUGGAGUCUUGCUCUGUCACCCAGGCUGGAGUGCAGUGGCGCAACCUCGGCUCACUGCAACCUCUGCCUCCCAGGUUCAAGCGGUUCUCCUGCCUCAG